AUAUCAUAAUUUUCGAAUUAAGUCUUUAAAUCGAUCCCAAGCUUCGUAUAGUGUUUCAUCCUUCAAUUGUCAAAAACAUGUGAUGUCAUUUCUAAGCUU
rfam:Gossypium hirsutum cultivar TM-1 chromosome 14, whole genome shotgun sequence